rnacentral:lncRNA from 1 species
CUUCCUUUGAUGGUCCAUCAACAUCAUGCUUAACGACUUCCAUCCCAGGUGAUACCCUGGUCUGGCAGUCAAACUCAACUUGCAUUUUUUACACUGCAAAGCUGUCUCUCUCCCUGGUGAAGACUCCAAACAUUUAGCAAUUCCUAACAUUUAUGAAACCUGGUCCCUCAAUUCUGUAACAAUAUUAUUAUUAUUAUUAUUAUUACUGCUUUAUUAAUUGCCUUCUAAACAAUCAUCUCAAUGCAGUUUACACAUCUUUAGUGGCUUUUAAUUAUCUUUAAAGCCAUGAAAAGCACAAAACCAACAAACACUUUUAAAAUAACUGUAGAACCAAACGAAAUAGACGAUUGUGGUAAAGACCCAUUUUCAUUGUGAAAGUUGUGCUUUUAAUUCACCCCAUUUCUCUAAAACCUCCCAACUUCUGAGCGCGUUCUAUUUUCAUGCUUAUUCAUGGCCAUUUUUCUGCUUAUUGGCUGCUUUAUGGCUUCUUUCUCCUACAUUGAGUGAUCCCAGCCCAUCAGGGACCACAUAACAUUUUAAAUUGUUUUUUAAGAUGUUCCUAAUUGUUCUUCAAUGUCCCUAAUUGCUUUUCAAUGUUCUUAAUUGUUUUUCAGUGUUUUCAAUGUGUUUUUAUUUUUUUAAUUGCUUUGUUUUACUACUUCACUGUUUGCUGCCCUGGGCUCCUUUGGGAAGAAAGGGUGGAAUGUACAUUUUUAACAUAGCAAUAGUAGUACAACACUACAGGCACUCCCCACCCCCAACUUACGCUCAUUCUAUUUGUGCACAACCUCGUAUAUGCACAGCUUCAGGAAAUAAUUUAAUAAUCUUCAUUCACACUUGGAAAUAGCAGGAGAGAACAGGAGAGUCCUCAUGGCUCGCGAGGAGACCCUCCCCGGAGCCCAAAGAGGACAUCAGUGAGGACGGAGGAAGCUGUGACUUCAGAGACCAGAGGUGCAGCGGGGCUUUGUUUAUGCUGCUCAGCCUCCCUGCCAAACAGGUGAUGUGCGGGGUAGUAAAAAAAAGGUAGCGCACCACCAGCAGUCACUUUCCCAUGCAUCCUCCAGCCUCCUGCCACUUCGCUUCUAGGUAAAGGUAAAGGGACCCCUGACCAUUAGGUCCAGUCGUGACCGACUCUGGGGUUGCGGCGCUCAUCUCGCUUUAUUGGCCGAGGGAGAUACAGCUUCCAGGUCAUGUGGCCAGCAUGACUCUGGCGAACCAGAGCAGCGCACGGAAACGCCGCUUACCUUCCCGCCGGAGCAGUACCCAUUUAUCUACUUGCACUUUGACGUGCUUUCAAACUGCUAGGUUGGCAGGAGCAGGGACCGAGCAACAGAAGCUCACCUGAUUGCGGGGAUUCGAUCCACCGACCUUCUGAUCGGCAAGUCCUAGGCUCUGUGGUUUAACCCACAGUGCCACCCACGUCCCUAGGUGUGGAUAUUUUUGGAUAUAAUGUUUUUGGUAUUGGUCGAAGACAGAGUGGCAGAGAGGGCAUUUGAAGGUUGUUUCGAGGGUGUUUCUCAUUUUACGGAAUCUCACUUAUGUGCGCGGGGACCUGGAAUGUAACCCCCGUGUGAUAAUGUGGAGCUGUAUUCAAUAUGCAGGUCCUUCUAAACCACUGAGCCUCUUGGGCUUGCCGAUCAGAAGGUCGGUGGUUCGAAUCCCUGCGACAGAGUGAGCUCCCAUUGCUCUGUCCCAGCUCCUGCCAACCUAGCAGUUUAAAAGCACACCAGUGCAAGUAGAUAAAUAGGUACCCCUCCGACGGGAAGGUAAAUGGCAUUUCUGUGUGCUCUGGUUUCUGCCACUGUGUUCCGUUGCGCCAGUAGCAAUUUAGUCAUGCUGGCCACAUGACCCGGAAAGCUGUCUGUGGACAAACGCAGGCUCCCUCAGCCUGAAAGUGAGGUGAGCUCCGCAACCCCAUAGUCACCUUUGACUGGACUUAACCGUCCAUGGGUCCUUUACCUUUUACCUACUCUGAGUAGACCCACUGACAUUAAUGAACACGACUAACUUAGGUUACUUAAUGGGUUUACUCUGAGCAGAACUGGUAUCAGAUACAAGCCAUGCUGCUGCAUCGGCAGUCAGAUUUGUCCAUAUUUGAGCACCACUGAAGCCAAAUAAUGUUGAUUUAGAGUGAGGUCAAUAUUCCGGGUCCAGUUGCAUAGGAUUGCUGUUAGUUGGGAGGGGAAAGGACACAACAGGCUUACAGUGCAGUAGAUUUCAAUUAAAUGCACAUAGAAUUGCAGACUUAAACUGGUUUACAAUAUUACAGUUUCUGUUUUAGCAUGGGAGGGGGGAACAUACGUAUUUCCAUUUCCUAAAAGUAGGGAAAUCACUUUAUAUUUUUACACCUAGCUUCAGACCUGGCUCAAGGUUUAAUUCAGAUACCUAACUGCGAAAAUUCUGGCUGUUCCAUUGUGUAAUUGCUGUGGUUUUAGUUCGUGAUAGUUUCAAAGUAAAAAAAAAAAGGAGGUGGGGGAGGGGAAAAAUAAAAUCCCACACUUUUUCUUCUUAUUUACACGGAUGCAACCCCAGUGAGGCCAGAGGGGUUUGGCAGCACUGAGAGCAGAAGUCCAGUCUAGAAACAUCCACUGGCGCUUGAUCUUUCUUGAAUGUGAUUAAUCCUUGGAAAAGACUAACUGACAUAGGCAUCAAUAACUACAGUAACUUGUUAUGGCUGCCUCAUUCCAGGAGGAUUACAUGCCUGAGCACUCCUUAAAACAUCUAAUGAAUGUCAUUUUGUUUUUAUUUUCAGUGUUCAUGCGAGUGAAGGGCUAAUCGAGGUGUCUAGAAUCGUGGUGUGAGCAGGCAGGCACAGUACAAAGCUUCCCACAGGAAACCUGUGGCUGACAUACCUCAGACUUGACCUGAAAUACCCUCCUGCUGCUCAAGAUCAUCACCCCACCCCCAUCCACAGGACUUGUGGCGUACACCUGCACUUCACUAGGCAUCCCCAUACACCUCCAGGCAUAGCUUUGCAAACAUAAGGGCUAGAAACUUGGCCAUUUAUUUAAAAUGCAAACUGCAAUUUGCAGGCAACUGGAUUUUGUGUCCAGUUCCACGUGGUGUGCAGAGCCCUUGCAAAUGCUCCAGUCAAAUGCUCACUAAGGUCACAUCCACAUGAUACUGUUAUAGAUGGGGG